GACGUAGGGCGCGAGCGUUGUCCGGAUUUAUUGGGCGUAAAGAGCUCGUAGGCGGCUUGUCGCGUCGUUCGUGAAAACCCGGGGCUCAACUCCGGGCUUGCGGGCGAUACGGGCAGGCUAGAGUUCGGUAGGGGAGACUGGAAUUCCUGGUGUAGCGGUGAAAUGCGUAGAUAUCGAGAGGAACACCAGUGGCGAAGGCGAGUCCCUGGACAACUCCUGACACUGAGGCACGAAAGCUAGGGGAGCAAACAGG
rnacentral:rRNA from 1 species